rnacentral:rRNA from 1 species
UACGAAGGGUGCAAACGUUGCUCGGAAUUAUUGGGCGUAAAGCGCGCGUAGGUGGCUUCGUAAGUCCGUUGUGAAAGUCAAAGGCUCAACCUUUGAAAGCCGAUGGAUACUGUGAAGCUAGAGUACGGAAGAGGCGAGUGGAAUUCCUGGUGUAGCGGUGAAAUGCGCAGAUAUCAGGAGGAACACCUAUUGCGAAGGCAGCUCGCUGGGACGUAACUGACGCUGAGGAGCGAAAGCGUGGGGAGCGAACAGG